rnacentral:tRNA from 1 species
UGGGGUGUAGUUCAGUUGGGAGAACGCUGGCCUUUGAAGCCAGUCGUCGUUGGUUCAAAUCCAACCACCCCAG